rnacentral:rRNA from 1 species
UACGUAGGGCGCAAGCGUUGUCCGGAAUUAUUGGGCGUAAAGAGCUCGUAGGCGGUCUGUCGCGUCUGCUGUGAAAUCCCGAGGCUCAACCUCGGGCUUGCAGUGGGUACGGGCAGACUAGAGUGCGGUAGGGGAGAAUGGAAUUCCGUGGUGUAGCGGUGGAAUGCGCAGAUAUCAGGAGGAACACCGAUGGACGAAGGCAGUUCUCUGGGCCGUAACUGGACGCUAGGAGCGAAGCGUG